rnacentral:rRNA from 1 species
AUACGUAGGGGGCGAGCGUUGUCCGGAAUGAUUGGGUUUAAAGGGAGCGCAGGCGGAGAUGCAAGCGUGACGUCAAAUUUCGGGGCUCAACCCCGUCUCGCGUCGCGAACUGCGUCCCUUGGUUGCGGGAAGGGGAGGCGGAACUCGUGGUGUAGCGGUGAAAUGCAUAGAUAUCACGAAGAACUCCGAUCGCGAAGGCAGCCUUCCGGCCCUGCAACGACGCUCAUGCUCGAAGGUGCGGGUAUCAAACAGGAUUAGAUACCCUGGUAGUCCGCACAGUAAACGAUGGACACCCGCGGUUUGGCCUGUAUGGCUGAGCCGCCAAGCGAAAGCGUUAAGUGUCCCACCUGGGGAGUACGCCGGCAACGGUGAAACUCAAAUGAAUUGACGGGU